rnacentral:rRNA from 1 species
UACGUAGGGUGCGAGCGUUAAUCGGAAUUACUGGGCGUAAAGCGUGCGCAGGCGGUCCGCAAAGUCUGAUGUGAAAGCCCCGGGCUCAACCUGGGAACUGCAUUGGAAACUAACGGGCUCGAGUGUGGCAGAGGGGGGUGGAAUUCCACGUGUAGCAGUGAAAUGCGUAGAGAUGUGGAGGAACACCGAUGGCGAAGGCAGCCCCCUGGGCUAACACUGACGCUCAGGCACGAAAGCGUGGGGAGCAAACGGG